ACAACUGCUAGCAUUACUCUAAGUAAUUCAGCAAGUGGUGUAAGUGGGGUGUUAUCACAACAAACACAAAGUAAGGUGGCUCUAGUUUAGUGGUUGGAAGGAAGGUAGCAAUCAGUGAAAGAUGAAAUGCCUGAGACAACGAAGGAGAUUGAUUUCAUUCAGGCUGUUGCAGUAGGGAGAAUGUUCGUUCAGAAACAUCUCAAAGGAGAGUGGUAAAUUUUGAGUUUCAUAAAGCAAGGAAGUCGUUGAGGAAGAAUGGAGAAUGAAUUCUUUGAAAUCUGGUGUGCAUUGUACAGUUACAGCACUUCUCAAUUCAGACAGCCACAUUUCCGGACCUCGAUAGCCACAGGUAGCCAGGACCAUCAAGUGAGGCAGCACAGGAGAGACCAGGGCCUCAGUAUUCAGAUCAGAGGAGGUGAGAAGCCACAUCCAGGCCCAGUGGAAAGGGCUGAGCUGCACCCACAGAUCCUAGACUGUUGAACAGGAUGCAGCAUGUUGCUUCCUUUGAGGAAACAGUUACAGAAUUGUAGGUAGGAUGUGGAUACUCAGGUGAGGACUGUAUUUCCAGCUCUUGUACCAGGAGUGCCUUUUGUCCAAGUUCUCACUAGCGGAAUGUGAACAGAAGUGAUUUGUACAAGGUCUGCCUUACUUCUUAAGAUGAGACGUCUGUGCCUGAACUGCUCUGACCUCUGGCCGCUGCCUUGGCUGGCAAAAAACUAGAGCGGCCUUGGAAGCCUUGUGUUGAAGAUGAAAAACUGGUUACCUGCAUGUACUCUCAUGUGGGAAAUGAACCUUUACUUUGAGCCACUGCAUUUUGGGGUCUUUUUUUUUUAAAACAGCUUACAUUCUCCGGUACACCUGUGGUUGCACAUCACGUUUCCUGUAUCCCACAUAGGAAGACUUCCUUAGCUUAUUCCUUUAUUUUGGUGGAGGACCUCCUCCAUUUGCCUUCUUAGAAGGUGUGCUGGAGGGGUAACUAUUUUGAGAGCUGAAUUCCUUUGCAUUUGACCUGUUUUUAUCCUUCUGGAGCCUUAAGAAUCUUCUAUUUGUCUCCAGCGUUUUCUCGUGUGUGUGUCUAUUUUCAACUAUUGUGCUGGGUACUCAACCCUUGCAAUCUGGAAACUGGUAUCCUUCAUUUCUGGGAAUAAAAAUGUUUUUUCUUUGAUUAUUCCCUCCCCUGCAUUUUCCCUGUCUCUAUUCUUAGCAGAAC